rnacentral:lncRNA from 1 species
CCCACACCCGAACACCCCUGAACACUGGGUCUAAGUUAUUUCUAACUCUCAUCUAGAGUACUUAGACUGUGCUAGUCCUGUUUUUGAAGCUCAUUUAGUAAUUUUAUUUCUUUCAUCUACCCACACAUGUAAUGAAGAGGGCAGGGUUUGUUAGCAGCAAAUUUUGCUCUCACUGAGGUCAGUUUCUGAUGCUGAAAAUGGUGGAUAAUGGAGAAAGAGGCUUCAAAGGCAACAUCAAGACAUUUUGAGAGCAACUAGGGCAAAUUUAAGAGAGUUAAUUGACACUGCCAUAAAAAUGGGAAACACCUGAGCAAAUACACCACAGAUCAAGAGAGAGAGAAAUGUUCUACAGAAGAUCAGAAGGAAAAGGAAAAAGGUAAAAGAAAUGCAUUCCAAAACAAGAGAAGCAUCAACUCUGGAAGCUGACUGUUCUCAGAAAGAUGUCACCCAGCAGUCACUUCCUAACUAAUGAUUGCACAGCUACUUUCAUAAUCAGAGGUGUGGGCUCUCAGGACUUGCACCAGUACUACUCUGGCAUUCACUAUCCAACAGCUUUUUCAUAACCGUAACAGUUAUUUACCAGUGAAAUGGGCUUCAUCAGAGUGAAGGCUGCAUCUUUGUUUUGGGAAAUAACCACUGUUCAAAGAGAACAGAUUGUUAGCAUGGCUCCUAUUUGAUAACACUUCUAACCAUGUUCUGUACUUAUCCAAACUACUUCAGUAUUUUCUUCUCUCUUCUUUAGUUUCUUUAGUAUUGUCUACUUGUCCAUCCUUUUAUUCCUUCCUAAAGUGCUUUAGAGACAAAUUAAGGUAUAUGGGAAUUAGUUUUUUCUGAAUGGUUAAUGGAUGUUUCUGCCUAGUGAAAUGGAGCCAAAAAACUCAAAAUGACAUUUAUUUUCCAGUUUUAGCAAACCUGAAAAAAACUUACUGUAAUAGGAAUAGAGUCAUAUAAAAUUUUUCACUUGUCUGUAUCUCUGAAAAUAUUAGUAGUUUUGUAGUAGUAGUAGAUAUUGUAGUUUAAUUUUGUUUUUCAGAAUUCCCAACUUUUAAAAAUAGGAAUCUGUUUCAGAUUGACAACUGUGAAUCUUCUACAAAUAA